rnacentral:rRNA from 1 species
AUUGAACGCUGGCGGAAUGCUUUACACAUGCAAGUCGAGCGGCAGCACGGGGGCAACCCUGGUGGCGAGCGGCGAACGGGUGAGUAAUACAUCGGAACAUGCCCAGUCGUGGGGGAUAACACUUCGAAAGAAGUGCUAAUACCGCAUACGUCCUGAGGGAGAAAGCGGGGGAUCUUCGGACCUCGCGCGAUUGGAGUGGCCGAUGUCAGAUUAGCUAGUUGGUGGGGUAAAGGCCUACCAAGGCAACGAUCUGUAGCUGGUCUGAGAGGAUGAUCAGCCACACUGGGACUGAGACACGGCCCAGACUCCUACGGGAGGCAGCAGUGGGGAAUUUUGGCCAAUGGGGGCAACCCUGAUCCAGCCAUUCCGCGUGAGUGAAGAAGGCCUUCGGGUUGUAAAGCUCUUUCGGCAGGAACGAAACGGCGAGCUCUAACAUAGCUUGCUAAUGACGGUACCUGAAGAAGAAGCACCGGCUAACUACGUGCCAGCAGCCGCGGUAAGAC